rnacentral:lncRNA from 1 species
UCCUCCACAGAUCCGAAAGUCAGGGACUUUUGGGGGCAGGUUCGGUGGCCGAAACUCCAUCACAGAUCCGAAAGUCAGAGGGGCAAGUUAGGCGGCCAAAAGGCUGCCUCCAGAAGCAGGUUCGGCAGCCGAACCUGGAUUCUCCAGUAAGGCAAAACCCGAUUCUGCCCUAUGUACUCAGCCUCCAAAACUUCUCAAAUCCUCACACCCAACUCCUUAAAACAUGCAUACACACUCAUCAACCAUAAGGGGCAUAAAAACUAGUCUAAACCUCAACAAACAACCAUAAAAACAACACAAGAGCAAACAUUCAUA